AUGCCGCGUGAGUGAUGAAGGCCUUAGGGUCGUAAAGCUCUUUCGCCAGAGAUGAUAAUGACUGUACCUGGUAAAGAAACCCCGGCUAACUCCGUGCCAGCAGCCGCGGUAAUACGGAGGGGGUUAGCGUUGUUCGGAAUUACUGGGCGUAAAGCGCGCGUAGGCGGAUUGGAAAGUUGGGGGUGAAAUCCCGGGGCUCAACCCCGGAACUGCCUUCAAAACUCCCAGUCUUGAGUUCGAGAGAGGUGAGUGGAAUUCCGAGUGUAGAGGUGAAAUUCGUAGAUAUUCGGAGGAACACCAGUGGCGAAGGCGGCUCACUGGCUCGAUACUGACGCUGAGGUGCGAAAGUGUGGGGAGCAAACAGGAUUAGAUACCCUGGUAGUCCACACCGUAAACGAUGAAUGCCAGACGUCGGGUAGCAUGCUUUUCGGUGACACACCUAACGGAUUAAGCAUUCCGCCUGGGGAGUACGGUCGCAAGAUUAAAACUCAAAGGAAUUGACGGA
rnacentral:rRNA from 1 species